CCGGUGUUUUUAUUGUGAUAGGUUUCGAAUUCGAAAUUACCUUAUCGCCAAUACACCUGCCACACGACCUCUCGCCUCGCUUGCCAAACUCGAAGUAAUUAUCAGUUUGUGUCAAUUUGUUUGUGUGCAAAAAAGAAAAAACACCUUUCCUUGUGUUUGACCGACUUGUAGCAAGGGCUUUCUUGAGAAGCCUGUAAAUUGCGGGAAUAGGACAGACAGGGAUAAAAUCCUCACUUUUUACUGUUCCCAAGGCUAUACAUUUCCCCCAUGCAAUACAUUUAAAUGAAUUUUAUCCAAACAAAGGCAGGAACAUUGGAUAAAAGCAAUAAAGAGAACAGACCACAAAUUAAAAUAUGAGAGUAUGUAGUAAACAUUUUAUAAGUGGAAUAAACACCAGCUAUUUUAAAUGUAGGAAAAGGAGAAACUGCUGGAAUCUAAUUUUACACAAAUGUUUUUGACUAUUGAAGAUUUGGAUAAACAACAGAAGUUACUUUGGGCUAUAGCUAUGUGCAGAUUUAUUUCCUUGUGGAUUACUAUGUUUAUUCUUUUUAACUAUACUUCCUAUAUUGUUUGUGAGAUUAAUAUUAUUAUUUAAUUGAUUAUAUUAAUAUUUUGUAAUAAUAAUCAAUGCUUUGGUUUAACAAAUAGACAACUUAGAAUAGAAAAA